UACGGGGGGGGUAAGCGUUGUUCGGAAUUACUGGGCGUAAAGGGCUCGUAGGCGGCCAACUAAGUCAUACGUGAAAUCCCUCAGCUUAACUGGGGAACUGCGUGUGAUACUGGAUGGCUUGGAUUUGGGAGAGGGAUGCGGAAUACCAGGUGUAGCGGUGAAAUGCGUAGAUAUCUGGAGGAACACCGGUGGCGAAGGCGGCUUCCUGGACCUUUGCUGACGCUAAGGCGCGAAAGCGUGGGUAGCGAUCCGG
rnacentral:rRNA from 1 species